rnacentral:rRNA from 2 species
AGACCCGAAACCCGGUGAUCUAGCCAUGGGCAGGUUGAAGGUUGGGUAACACUAACUGGAGGACCGAACCGACUAAUGUUGAAAAAUUAGCGGAUGACCUGUGGCUGGGGGUGAAAGGCCAAUCAAACCGGGAGAUAGCUGGUUCUCCCCGAAAGCUAUUUAGGUAGCGCCUCGUGAAUUCAUCUCCGGGGGUAGAGCACUGUUUCGGCUAGGGGGCCAUCCCGGCUUACCAACCCGAUGCAAACUGCGAAUACCGGAGAAUGUUAUCACGGGAGACACACGGCGGGUGCUAACGUCCGUCGUGAAGAGGGAAACAACCCAGACCGCCAGCUAAGGUCCCAAAGUCAUGGUUAAGUGGGAAACGAUGUGGGAAGGCCCAGACAGCCAGGAUGUUGGCUUAGAAGCAGCCAUCAUUUAAAGAAAGCGUAAUAGCUCACUGGUCGAGUCGGCCUGCGCGGAAGAUGUAACGGGGCUAAACCAUGCACCGAAGCUGCGGCAGCGACGCUGAUGCGUUGUUGGGUAGGGGAGCGUUCUGUAAGCCUGUGAAGGUGGCCUGUGAGGGUUGCUGGAGGUAUCAGAAGUGCGAAUGCUGACAUAAGUAACGAUAAAGCGGGUGAAAAGCCCGCUCGCCGGAAGACCAAGGGUUCCUGUCCAACGUUAAUCGGGGCAGGGUGAGUCGACCCCUAAGGCGAGGCCGAAAGGCGUAGUCGAUGGGAAACGGGUUAAUAUUCCCGUACUUGGUGUUACUGCGAAGGGGGGACGGAGAAGGCUAUGUUGGCCGGGCGACGGUUGUCCCGGUUUAAGCGUGUAGGUGUGUGUUCCAGGUAAAUCCGGUUCACUUUAACACUGAGGCGUGACGACGAGGCACUACGGUGCUGAAGCAACAAAUGCCCUGCUUCCAGGAAAAGCCUCUAAGCAUCAGGUAACAUCAAAUCGUACCCCAAACCGACACAGGUGGUCAGGUAGAGAAUACCAAGGCGCUUGAGAGAACUCGGGUGAAGGAACUAGGCAAAAUGGUGCCGUAACUUCGGGAGAAGGCACGCUGACACGUAGGUGAAGUGAUUUACUCA